AAGGGCUCAGGCAUUAUCCGCGUGACAUCGAGGACGUACCAGGGAAGAGAAACCUUCCAAGGUUGGAAAUGAAGGGAGAAAUGCGAGGUGGGUGAGAUGGGGAGGGACGGCAAGCAGCGCGAAUAACGGGAUACGAAACCGAGCAACAUUGAACAAUCUCAACAACCAGUUUUGAAAACUUUUGCGCAAUCGUUUUCGGCAGUGUAUAUGUAUUAUUGAAUAUGAGAUAUUGCAUUCAUCUCAUAGAAUUGUAGAAUUGCUGGUGGCGAAUGGAUAAAAAUCAUUCAAGACAAGAGCAAAAAAAAGAAGAAGAGGGAAAAAAAAGCAACCACUCGGGUACCUUGUAUGUAAAUAACCUGUAACUAGCAUGCCAAUAGUCAUUUGGAGAAAUGCUCAUUGGCACAAUCCACAGCAACAGGCGAGAAACGACAACACAAGCGACACUGCCGCUGCUGCUGCUGCUCAACACUCACAGCAGGACGAUAGAUAGGGACGACGAUUGGCAUUAAUAGAGAGGAGAAGAAGACGAAGAGUAAGCAGGACAACCGAAAUUCUGCCUGGGAAUUCGCCUCCUCCCUCCUCCCUCCUCCCUCUCCGUCUCCCUCUCCGCCUCCUCCGGUUGCUGUGGGCUGGCUGGCAACUCCCUCGUCCUGCCCCGUGCUGUUUGUUCCUUGUCCUUGUCCAGCUCCUUUAUUCUGUCAGUUUGUUUGUUUGUUUAGUAGCAGAGUCUCCUCCUCCUCUUCCUGCCGCCGCCGCCGCUGUUGCUACUGCCGUUGUUGCUGCUGUGUCUGUGUCUGCUUCUUCCAUUUCUUACUUCCUGACUUGGGUUGGGUUGUCUUGGUCCCGUGUGUCCGCACUCCCUCCAUCAACGUCACUCUGGCACAACUAACCAACCACCAGCAACAUCACCGCCAACCUCUCCUCCCUCUUCACUCCUCCAUCACCAGCCGCAUUCACCACCUGCACCACAACCACUCACCACAAUACUCAUCAUCACCACACUCCUCUACUCCUCUACUCCUCUACUCCUCUACUCCUCUACUCCUCUACUCCUCUACUCCUCUACUCCUCUACUCCUCUACUCCUCUACUCCUCUUCUCCUCCUGUCCUCCUCUUAAACCAUUUCUCCCUAACCUCUUCCGCUUCCCCUCCACUCGUACUCCUCCUCCACUUCGUCCUCCUAUACAUACCACCCACCUCGUCCCGCUUCCCUAGCAACCAUACUACCUACAUAUACGCUGUGCCUAUUUGCGAUCCUCUAUACCCCUCACUGUAACUGCAGUGACUGCCGCUCCACCCUUGAUCAUUGUCCUGUUUUCACACUUGCUCGCUUGUGAACACACACACAAACAAUUCACACAUCAUUCAUUCAAGUAUUCAGUCAUUCACUCAUUCAAUCUACUUAUCCUCUCACACAUCACUCUUCAAUCUGGCUCACUUCCUUCUCUUCUUCUUUCCUCUGCCACUUGUGUUCAUUCUACAGGUGCAGAUCUCCACAGUCCACUUUAAAGAAAACCACAUACUAGCUCUUAGUUAAGCUUUG
rnacentral:sRNA from 2 species